GAUGAACGCUGGCUACAGGCUUAACACAUGCAAGUCGAGGGGAAACGACGGGGAAGCUUGCUUCCUUGGGCGUCGACCGGCGCACGGGUGAGUAACGCGUAUCCAACCUGCCUCUGACUGAGGGAUAACCCGUCGAAAGUCGGCCUAAUACCUCAUGGCAUCGUCUGCGGGCAUCCAACGACGAUUAAAGAUUUCAUCGGUCAGGGAUGGGGAUGCGUCUGAUUAGCUUGUUGGCGGGGUAACGGCCCACCAAGGCUACGAUCAGUAGGGGUUCUGAGAGGAAGGUCCCCCACAUUGGAACUGAGACACGGUCCAAACUCCUACGGGAGGCAGCAGUGAGGAAUAUUGGUCAAUGGGCGAGAGCCUGAACCAGCCAAGUAGCGUGCAGGAUGACGGCCCUAUGGGUUGUAAACUGCUUUUAUGCGGGGAUAAAGUGAGGGACGUGUCCUUCAUUGCAGGUACCGCAUGAAUAAGGACCGGCUAAUUCCGUGCCAGCAGCCGCGGUAAUACGGAAGGUCCUGGCGCUAUCCGGAUUUAUUGGGUUUAAAGGGAGCGUAGGCCGUGGAUUAAGCGUGUUGUGAAAUGCAGGUGCUCAACGUCUGCACUGCAGCGCGAACUGGUCCACUUGAGUGUGCGCAACGCAGGCGGAAUUCGUCGUGUAGCGGUGAAAUGCUUAGAUAUGACGAAGAACUCCGAUUGCGAAGGCAGCCUGCGGGAGCACAACUGACGCUGAAGCUCGAAAGUGCGGGUAUCGAACAGG
rnacentral:rRNA from 1 species